AUUGAACGCUGGCGGCAUGCCUUACACAUGCAAGUCGAACGGCAGCACGGGGCAACCUGGUGGCGAGUGGCGAACGGGUGAGUAAUGCAUCGGAACGUACCUUUCAGUGGGGGAUAACGUAGCGAAAGUUACGCUAAUACCGCAUAUUCUGUGAGCAGGAAAGCAGGGGAUCGCAAGACCUUGCGCUGAUUGAGCGGCCGAUGUCAGAUUAGCUAGUUGGUGAGGUAAAGGCUCACCAAGGCGACGAUCUGUAGCGAGUCUGAGAGGAUGAUCCGCCACACUGGAACUGAGACACGGUCCAGACUCCUACGGGAGGCAGCAGUGGGGAAUUUUGGACAAUGGGGGCAACCCUGAUCCAGCCAUGCCGCGUGAGUGAAGAAGGCCUUCGGGUUGUAAGGCUCUUUCGGCCGGGAAGAAAUCGCACGGGCUAAUACCCUGUGUGGAUGACGGUACCGGAAUAAGAAGCACCGGCUAACUACGUGCCAGCCGCCGCGGUAA
rnacentral:rRNA from 1 species